UGGUUAUUUGUUGCUACUGCCGCUAUUGUUGUUGUUUGAGUCGUUGUUCCAUUCGUUUGCUUAUCGGUGGACUUUUGCAGCUACUGCCACUGCUUCUAGUGCCGCUGCUCUUGCGGUGCUGGCCGAGCGAGAUGAAUUUCGUUGCGUUCGAUACAAAUCAGUUGCUUUUGAAAUGUUCGCAAAUACAGACGCUUUAAAAUGUUAAUUGUGCAUUUCGGUGAAAUAUUCUGUGUAACGGUGUAUAACUAGAAAGACUUUACUUGUUUAAUUUGUAGCGCAACAAAAGCUACCAAAUUCGAGUGCAAAAUCGCUAAAGAAAAUAUAAUUUUCACAAUUUUAUAUAAAACAAACUGGCAAUAAAAGUUACUGAAAAUAAAAAAUUGACCGUA